rnacentral:rRNA from 1 species
AUUGAACGCUGGCGGCAUGCCUUACACAUGCAAGUCGAACGGCAGCACGGGUGCUUGCACCUGGUGGCGAGUGGCGAACGGGUGAGUAAUAUAUCGGAACGUACCUUAUUGUGGGGGAUAACGCAGCGAAAGCUGUGCUAAUACCGCAUAAUCCCUAAGGGGGAAGCGGGGGACCGUAAGGCCUCGCGCAAUUAGAGCGGCCGAUACCUGAUUAGCUAGUUGGUGAGGUAAAGGCUCACCAAGGCAACGAUCAGUAGCUGGUCUGAGAGGACGAUCAGCCACACUGGGACUGAGACACGGCCCAGACUCCUACGGGAGGCAGCAGUGGGGAAUUUUGGGCAAUGGGGGCAACCCUGAUCCAGCAAUGCCGCGUGAGUGAAGAAGGCCUUCGGGUUGUAAAGCUCUUUUGUCAGGGAAGAAACAGCAGCUCUAACACAGUAUGCGAAUGACGGUACCUGAAGAAUAAGCACCGGCUAACUACGUGCCAGCCGCCGCAGUAA